CUAACUCAAGGGGGGAAAUUGAAACCAGUGCAUUUUAGUUUUUCUGAGUUAUGAGCAGAAAUGCUCAACACUGAACGUUGGGCUAUAUAUCAAAUUGAAGCUAUUGAAAAACUCUAUUUGGUGUAGAAAUUUCAAGACUUUAGGUAAAAGGGAAAUAUUGAAAAACUACAAACAUAAUUACCGAUAAUUUGCCGUUUUGCAGUUGUUUUUGUAUUUUUUAAAGAUUUUUCUUUUCGCU